rnacentral:lncRNA from 1 species
AAUCCAAGGUUGGGUUUGUCAAGCUCAAGAAAAAUAUCAAACGAAGAGAACAAGCCCACACCUCUGAUGGAGAACUUAAGUGAUGCAACUAUUACACUACAAAUAAAAAUGUUAAUGAUUGACGAAUAAGGAUUUCUCCCAAGUCAUUCAACUGUUCAUACUCCUUUUUAAGAUACACCAAAUCCAUUUACUAAUGAAUAAGUUAAUCCAUCAUGUUGCCCCUAAUAUGACCCAAGAAAAGCUAACUUCCAAAAGAAGCAUCUGUAUGUAGAAAAACUCAAAACGAAUCAAAUACGCAAUACAAAUUGUGAAUCUGAGCUCAGGACCUGAGACCUAUUGAACAGCAAAAGCCAACUACCAUAUAGAAAAAAGCAGACAAAUAGAAGAAAGGAUGCAAUUAGAGUACUCAUGAAGUGAAUGAGCUCUUCCAUUAAAAAAUCUCAUGGCAUUUAGUUUCUGAAUAUCUGAGGGAUAGACACAAAGAUAAGGAAGUAAAUCAAGUAACAUUUCAGUUAUUGAUUGAAAGAAAAGGAUAAGCAGAUAACUGCGUAAUCUAAGUUUAGAGAAGGAAAAGCAAGGAAAAAUAAUAUAUUGUCAUCACAUGGGUUGUAAGGAUAACAUAACUCAAAGCCCUUUUGACGCAUGUCAAUCAUCACAAGGCACAACUUAAGUUCACUGAAACACGAGCUCAAAAUGUAAUUACAGCACAAUAGUUUAACAUGAAAAAUAAUCAGUACCAUGCACUUGGUACAAUUAAAAUAAAAGAAAGGGAAAAUUCAAAAUUCGCCAAAAAGAAGAAUGAAACAGGAAAAAAGAGGUAACAUUUCAACUACAACACCAGAACAUCAUAUAACACAACUCAAAUUCACUGGAACAUCGAAUCUUGAUUGUAAGUUUAGAGCUAUAAUGUAUGCAUAGCAUAAAUAGGACACAAGGAAAAACACUAGCACUGCAUAAGUUUAAAGCUUAAGAUAAAAGGAAACAAGAAGAUCUAAUAAUGGGAAAGGGGAAAUAGAAGAGAACAAAUUAGAACAUAGGCCAUCAGAUGGGAUAUAUCACCAAUCAAUUUCACAGUCCCAUUUUAAAUUUAAAAAUAUAAUGGAACUCAAAGCCCUUGCGCAAUAUCCUGAACAUCAUAUGGCGCAGCUUAAUAUCACUAGAAUGCCGAGACUCUAAACACAAAUUAUGGCACAAAAAGGGCCAGAUCAAAACAAAUAAAUCAUGAGAAAAAAGCCCUUCACCUGGAAAUUCAUUUAUGAGAACAUGGAACUGAUUAAGCCCCAGUUUGGCCCCCAUUCUCCUUCUCAUUCUUUUUCUCUCUCUUAUUUUCAACUACACAAUUUUUCAUAAAAUAAUAUUACACGCAAAUCAAAAACUUUUCAUUCUUUUUCAACAUACAUUUUUCAAAAAAAAACUAUUCCAACCAUUAAAAUUUGGAAAAAAAUGGGGGCCAAACAGGGGCUAAGGUUUGAUGGAGGAUUAAAAACAUGUCCUUGUAUGAAGGUUGUAUGACUGAUAGAUAAUGCCUUCUGUUAUUGAGAGGAAAAAUGGUUUUCAAUAGAAAUACAAAAGGUCCAGUUAAGUUUUUUAGCUAACUUGGACAAGCUAUGUACAGUGCAUUUAAUCAAUUUUACCAAGAAAAUCAAUUUUAAGAUAAGAAGAAAUAGAAAAAUAAUAUGUUAUUCAACAAAAACACCAACACCACCUCAGCGAAUGCAUUAUACAACUACAGAUGGCACAAAAUUUAUACUUACCCUGAUUAGAUACUGAUUACAAACGGCACGGUUUCAAAUUUUCAAAUCAAAAUGUUGCGAUCACAAUGCAUAAAUACAGUAACAUAUAGCUAGCACAACCGGAAAGUGAGACAAGCAAGAAAGGAAAAUAAUUCCCCACCCAAUUACUAACAGUAGUAAUAAAUAAUUAUAUAAGAGAUCAUCAUCGCACUCUAGUAUUACCAAAGUUUUGCCAUUUCUUGAUGGAAAUUAAAAGGGGGAAAGGGAAAAGAUUACCAUAAAUAUUUUCAUAUCCGCAGAUAUAAACGAUUCUAAUAAGAAUAAAAAUACCAAAGAGAUGAGUCACACAUAUUUUCAAGUUAACCAAGAACACAAAUUGAAAAUAAAAUUAUAACC